rnacentral:rRNA from 1 species
AAACACCUUAUCGAGGAUCAAUUGGAGGGCAAGUCUGGUGCCAGCAGCCGCGGUAAUUCCAGCUCCAAUAGCGUAUACUAAAGUUGUUGCAGUUAAAAAGCUCGUAGUCGUAUAUUGACAGGGUAUUGCACCUGGGGCCUCAAAAGCCACUUUUUAAACCAGGUACAAUACGUAGUCUUUGCGGAUCCCAACAAGUUCUUAACUGAGCUUGCAUUUGGUUGUAUCUGCGUUACUGUGAAAAAAUUAGAGUGUUCAAGGCAGGCUAGUACGCCAGAAUAGAUUAGCAUAGGAUAACGGAGAAAGUGUUCGUCUAUGAAGGUGGACGACAUUUUACGUAUUAAUAGGGUUUAUCAGGGGCGCUCAUAUUUAAUUGUCAGAGGUGAAAUUCUUGGAUUUAUGAAAGAUGAACUAAUGCGAAAGCAUCCGCCAUGGGUAUUCCCAUUGAUCAAGAACGAAAGUUAAGGGAUCGAAGACGAUCAGAUACCGUCGUAGUCUUAACUAUAAACGAUACCGACCAACCUUUGGGUGACGUUAUAUGGAUGACUCCUUCAGCAAUUUUGAGAAAUCAAAGUCUUCGGGUUCUGGGGGGAGUAUGGUCGCAAGGCUGAAACUUAAAGGAAUUGACGGAAGGGCACACCAGGAGUGGAGCCUGCGGCUUAAUUUGACUCAACACGGGAAAUCUCACCAGGUCCAGACAUUAGUAUGAUAGACAGAUUUGAUAGCUCUUUCUAGAUUUUGUGGGUGGUGGUGCAUGGCCGUUCUUAGUUGGUGAAUUGAUUUGUCUGCUUAAUUGCGAUAACGAACGAGACCUCGAUCUGCUAACUAGUAGGUUUCACUCUCUAAUGGUUGAAGUACUUUUUUAUUAUGGUACCUCGGUAUUAUAAUGAAUCGGUAUGGAAACUUGAGAUGUGGGAUUUUACUUCUUAGAGAGACUGUCGGUGAUUAGCCGAAGGAAGUACGAGGCAAUAACAGGUCUGUGAUGCCCUUAGAUGUUCUGGGCCGCACGCGCGCUACAAUGACCAGGACAGCAAGCUUUCCUUAAUUUAAAGAUUUGGGUAAACUCUAAACCUGGUCAUAACUGGAAUAGAUUAUUGAAAUUAUUUGUCUUAAACGAGGAAUUUCUAGUAAGCAUGUGUCACUAACGCAUGCUGAUUACGUCCCUGCCCUUUGUACACACCGCCCGUCGCUUCUACCGAUUGGAUGUUUCGGUGAAAAGUUUGGAGAAGCUUGCAAGCUCCGCAAGGAGCGAACUAAUUUUGAAAAACUGUAAACCACAACAUCUAGAGGAAGAAGAAGUCGUAACAAGGUCUCCGUAGGUGAACCUGCGGAGG